rnacentral:rRNA from 1 species
UACAGAGGGGGCAAGCGUUGUUCGGAAUUACUGGGCGUAAAGGGCGCGUAGGCGGCCGCCUAAGUCAGACGUGAAAUCCCUCGGCUCAACCGGGGAACUGCGUCUGAUACUGGGUGGCUUGAAUCCGGGAGAGGGAUGCGGAAUUCCAGGUGUAGCGGUGAAAUGCGUAGAUAUCUGGAGGAACACCGGUGGCGAAGGCGGCAUCCUCGGACCGGCACUGACACUGAGGCACGAAGGCCAGGGAGCAAACGGG